GCUGGGCACCGUGGCUUGUGUCUGUAAUCCAAGUGUCUGGGAAGCUGAGGCUGGUGGAUUGCUUGAGCCCAGGAGUUCAAGGCUGCAGCGGGCUGUGUCGCGCAGGUGUCCGCACUGGGGUCUGCACCGACAUGGGGCCUCUGAGGAAGCUUGGAGGCUCCAGGUUGUCUAAGGAGGGGUGAACCGGCCCAGGCUGGGAACAGAGCAGGUCAAAGCUCCCUUGCUGACUGGUAGUGGGACAGCACCUGUAAAUGGCUCCUGUAGCCCAACCUGGGCAAGAGAGGGGGACCCAGCCUUUU
rnacentral:SRP_RNA from 1 species